AGCAGCCGCGGUAAUUCCAGCUCCAAUAGCGUAUAUUAAAGUUGUUGCAGUUAAAAAGCUCGUAGUUGAAUUUCGGGAUCAAUAUGUUGGUCGUGCCUCGGUACGUACUGGCAUUAUUGGUUUCUACCUUCUGAAGAACCUCGAUGUCAUUAAUUUGGUGUCUUGGGGAAUCAGGACUGUUACUUUGAAAAAUUAGAGUGUUUAAAGCAGGCUCACGCUUGAAUACAUUAGCAUGGAAUAAUGAAAUAGGACGUUUGAUUCUAUUUUGUUGGUUUCUAGGAUUGACGUAAUGAUUAAUAGGGAUAGUUGGGGGCAUUAGUAUUCAAUUGUCAGAGGUGAAAUUCUUGGAUUUAUUGAAGACUGACUACUGCGAAAGCAUUUGCCAAGGAUGUUUUCAUUAAUCAAGAACGAAAGUUAGGGGAUCGAAGACGAUCAGAUACCGUCGUAGUCUUAACCAUAAACUAUGCCGACUAGGGAUCGGAUGAUGUUAAUUUUUAAUGUACUCA
rnacentral:rRNA from 1 species